CAAAUAUAUUACAGUGAAAAUUAAAAUAUGAUUGUAAAAAGACACAUAAAAAUUAUUUCUUUGAAAAAAUAUGUAAAACAAAAAUAUAUCCGCUCUUUUAAGGGCGGGUCAGAAUUUAGUUAUCAUUUAAAUGACCACAUAAAUGUUAAUUUUUAAUGAUGUCAAAAAAUGUUAAUUUUAAUUUUAAAUAGAAAGUACAAAGAACAAGUUUAAUAAAUAUUUGGUUAACUUUAAACAAACUAUUUAAAAAAAAUGUUACAGCAACUCAUAAUAUUGACACAUAUUAUAAAAUCAUAGAAAUAAUUAUUUUCUAAAACAAUAUGACAGAAAUUUACUAAAUAUAUGCACUUAAAAAAUUAUAAGCAUACAUAAAUUUUAACUAUUUUUAAAAUCAAUAUUUAAAAUUUUAAGAUAUUUUUUGCGAGCUAUAUAAAAUUUAAAAUUUUAUUUUAAGGUAUCUUAUCGCAGAAAGUUUUUGAGUUCAAGUAUAUUUCUUAAUCCAUUAUUUUUAUACUACUUUUGAAAAAAUAGAUACUAGGCAGAAAGAUGGUGGCAAUUGGGCAAACCCACCACUUAAAGAACACAGCUGAGCCACACACCAGACCUACCAGAUAGUCCAUAAUUGAUUUGGUUAGUUGCGUCAUGUACAACUACAACAACAGUCCUGAGGUAUCUAAGUUUACAACUUUAUCCCAAAUUAUUCCUGCACUAGACUAUAGGCCCAGUCAUCUCUGUUUAUCCGAUCAUUUUCUUUCUUUCAAAGUCGGAGCUAGGAAGGAACUUGGUUUCUGAUCUAGUACCAAACCUAGAAGCUGCCGGGAUAAUCCUCAAUGGAGACAACACCUGUGCGAAGGAGAAGUUGUAAGAAUCAGUGCCUAACCGGCUCUGCAACCAUCCUCUCCCACCAGAAAAUCCAUCAGUAACGAUCCAGCAGUUCUUAAACCCGAGAACCUUUAACGUUUUCGCCACAAUUUUAGCCGAGUCCGAGUACCUACGAAACCAAUAAAGAAGAUCACAUGAACUAAAAAUAUUCCACAAAAGUUCUUGUCAAAACAGAGAUAUAUACUCACGAGUCCAUGAUGAUGAUAUUAGAGCCUUUGUUGAUUCUCUUGAGGUAAGAUAUCUUUAACGCUGCUAUUUCUGCUUCAACACGUUUUUAGUUCCUCACUAUUCCUUUUACUUUGUUCGGAAGCUCUUCUAAUCUGAUAAUUUUGAAUAA